AGUGAACGCUGGCGGCAGGCUUUACACAUGCAAGUCGAACGGCAGCGGGGAGGGAGUUUCUUCUCUCCCGUGGCGUGUCGCGCGCGGGAGUGGUACAUCUGGGCGUGUCGAGAUUAGUGGGAGAACCACCCGGGAGGGUUACUAAUACCGCGUAUAUGCUCUGCGGGAAAGCGCAGGACCUAUUAAUAGGCCUAGCGCUUGUUGGACGGGAUGUCGGAUUAGCUAGUUGGCGAGGUAAAGGCGCACCAAGGCGAGGAUCUGUAGCUGGUCUGAGAGGAUGAUCAGCCACACUGGAACUGAGACACGGCCCAGACUCCUACGGGAGGCAGCAGUGGGGAAUAUUGGACAAUGGGCGCAAGCCUGAUCCAGCCAUGCCGCGUGUAUGAAGAAGGCCUUCGGGUUGUAAAGCCCUUUUGUUAGGGAAGAAAAGCAACAUGUGAAUACCGGGCGAUACUGACGGUACCCAAAGAAUAAGCACCGGCUAACUACGUG
rnacentral:rRNA from 1 species